CAGAAAAUAGUUUAUAUAAAAUAUUAAUUUUGGAGAUUAAUGAAAUAAAUUUUAAUUUAUUUUUCUGA
rnacentral:tRNA from 1 species